GUUGCUAUUUGUUUCACUUAAGGCGCGGACUAGCCUGACAUACCAGCGCGGUGUUCAUCGGGAUCGCAAUGCUAUUGUUGAUUCCUUAGUUGUUUCGAAUUUUUAGACGAGAAAGCACGCGUUGUGACACAAUUUCUGCAGUCCAGUUUGCCGGGCUGACCGCUAGCUAUCGCCUGUAUUCUGAAAGCUCAUGCACUCACACUCAAAGACUGGAGUUUUAAUCUGAGCUUCCAUUGAUUGUCAAUGCUGUUUUUGAAUAGCUGGAGGGUGAGUAUAGUCACAAAGUAAGGUACGACACUAAUCCUCUAACUAUUCAAAAAAACAGUACUGGCACUCAAGAAAAGCUCAG